GAUGAACGCUAGCUACAGGCUUAACACAUGCAAGUCGAGGGGCAGCAUAACGAUAGCUUGCUAUUGUUGAUGGCGACCGGCGCACGGGUGAGUAACGCGUAUCCAACCUGCCCUUGUCCAUCGGAUAACCCGUCGAAAGGCGGACUAACACGAUAUGCAGUUCACAGCAGGCAUCUAACGUGAACGAAAUGUGAAGGAAAAGGAUGGGGAUGCGUCUGAUUAGCUUGUUGGCGGGGUAACGGCCCACCAAGGCGACGAUCAGUAGGGGUUCUGAGAGGAAGGUCCCCCACAUUGGAACUGAGACACGGUCCAAACUCCUACGGGAGGCAGCAGUGAGGAAUAUUGGUCAAUGGGACGCAAGUCUGAACCAGCCAAGUAGCGUGCAGGAUGACGGCCCUAUGGGUUGUAAACUGCUUUUAUGCGGGGAUAAAGUGGGCCACGUGUGGCCCUUUGCAGGUACCGCAUGAAUAAGGACCGGCUAAAUUCCG
rnacentral:rRNA from 1 species